GAGGGAGGCGGUGCCCGGACCCGUCCUGCCCAGCCGGGCCGGGCGCGGCCCGGGGAGCGGGGCUCUUUCCCCGGGGCCCCUUCCCCGCAGUGUCGCUGGGUCUGCGUGAAGCGGCAGGAUAGGCGCUGGGACCUGGCCCGAGGCGGGGGGCAGCUGCCGUGGGGAGGAGACAAACUGCGGCGUUCGCGAAGGGUCACUGAGGAGCAAAGUGGCGAAGCUGUUUGGGCUUCAGCAGCCGCCAGCCCCGCCGAGCGGCUGCAGGGCCAUAGGGGUCGGUCCUCUCUGGCCACGUCAGGCUCUCAGGAGCGUUUGAUUGAAAAAAGCAAAAAGCGAGAUUUACUGUAUGUAGUAAGCCAUGGACACAUUGAUAUUCCUUGAACCUACUUGUCUGCCUGCGUGCACACUUGAUAUCACUUAGGUUAAUCAUACAUAUCUUUUCAACUACCAGAUUAGACUCAGUUGCUCAGCAUUGCCAGCCAAAUACUGCCAGAUUGUUCAUGAGUUUGGAAAUGAAUCUUACAGUUUGUAGAAUUCUUACAGUUGUAGAAUUGAAAACUCUUCUGGAUCUGCUCAAUACAAGAAAUAGGAACAUGUGCCUGAAUCUCAUACGUGUCUCUUAAGCAACAAGGUCGUCUUUCUCACUGUUUUGAUGUAUGCCUUUUGUAAAUACAGAGAUUUAUCAGUUAAUCUAAACCAGUGCAGUAAAGCUAAACUGUUCAAACUAGCCAGGAUCCUUUUAAGUGACACUGAUUUGAUUGUGAAUGUGGCUUCUGCAGUUACAUUUCAUUGCAAUAGAUUCUAUUGCAUGUAGUCCUAACUCUCAGCAAAAGUGUUGCCAGUCUUUUGUACACUUAAAUACCCUGGUUACAAUUCAAGUAACUUUUGAUUCAGAAGGUGGCACAGCGUAUUUGCACAUCUCUGAGGGCACAUUUUUGACCAGCAAGUUAAGAAUGCUAGCUAGCUGUUAUGCUGACUUAAUUGGGAAUAGUACAUGUGCCUGCAUCUCAGGCACAUCUCUCAGCUUUUAAGCUAACUUUGUAUUUCACUGCAAUAAUAAUGUUGUGGUUUUAUUUGUUAUUAAAUUAUAUGUUAUUUUGUGAUGGGCAGUGGGUGAUUGAAAUAAUUCCCUUUAGCUUUAUGGCCCUAAUUACCAACAAAAAUGCUCAUGAGACCUAUUGUGACUCAUUAAGUUACCUCAUGUUCAUUCCAAAUGAUGUGCAUCAGUCCUUUUAAUUUGAUUAAAUAUGGGAUAGCAUUCAGCUGUAUUAAUUUCAGGUGUUUAGUCCUAAUUAUAGCCCAUCCUGGUAGAUGUAUGCAGGUGCAGGCUUUGUAUAUGAGAACAGGGUUCUGUCAUCAUGCUCUACAGAGGCAAAACUAUCAGAUUUCAUUCACUGUGGCAAUUAAUUGGUUUCAUUGUUAUGGGAAGAGUUGUGAUUUUCCUGUGAUUUCACUUUACCUACCCUCCUGUAUAAUUCUGUAAGUGAUAUGAAUAUGUAAGUAGUGACAUAACUAAACUAACUUCAGGAGAUGAAAAACCAAUUUUGUGGAAAAGUGAAGGUGUUUGCAGACAUCUCUGGUGAAUUUUUUGUACUGCAGAGUUAGGAACCAUAAUGGAGAAAAUUUUGCCUCAGAUUGAACAUAGAUACUGAUAUCAAAAGACAAAGUUAAAUUUUAAAUUAAAAGACAGCGAGAGAUGGAUUAAUACAAAACAUGUCAUUUAGCCUUUUAUAAAAACUAUGCAUUGUAUUGGUCUGUGUAAGCACAAAGAAGCCCUUUACUAUUGAACACUUCAGUAGCUCCUUAAAUUGCAAAAGAAGUGGGCCAAGAGAGUACUUGUUGUGACACAAAUGGGUUAAAAGAAGUAAUAAACUUCCCCCUAGUAUAUGGUAUUCUUUGGGGGGUUUUUAUGGAAUAGAAAUGAAGUCCUUGGUCCUUUAUGUGGCUGUGCAAGGAAGUUAGAUGUACCAGCAGACCGAAAAGUACCUUUUCCAAUGCGAACUCCUCAUUAAUUUAGCCUGUGUUCCUUUCUGCAUAGGAGUGAGCAUAUGUUUACAUGUUAGUACCCCUUUUGUUUGUAUGCUUAUUUGGUCAACUAAAAAAGAAAUCCCAUCUGUUCUCUACUGGUGGAUCAUCCUCUUUGCCAUUAGCAAAGUAUUGGUAAUUAUGUCACAUUUUGUUUAAGGUCAUUCACAACAGUGUUAAGCAGCAAUGCCCAAAAUGUCAGACCUAUGAUGUGUAUUAGGUAGGCAGUGAUUUCCCGUUGAGUGCAGAACUCCAGGGCCUACACACAAAUCUCUACACCAGAGGCUUAGAUGCUUCCAAAACUCACAUGUAACCAGACAGCAAAGCUGUUUUGCCAGUUUUUCCUGCUUGAAUCUUGUCCAAACAGAUUAUCAAACCAGUGGGGUUUUUGUUGUUAUUGGGGUGGGUUUGUUUGUUUGUUUGUUUUGUUUUAUAUUGGCCUUUUGUGUGCUGGUAAUUGAAUCAGCUGAACCUGGUAACAGCCUUUGUGAGAAAGAACUGAUGUCCGAUGUUUGAAUUAAUUUAUUGUUGUGUUAGAGCUGGCAAUGUAACAACAGACCAAUAGAGACAUGAUCAUCACAAAAUUUUAUCAACAUCUCCCAUGCCCUUCAUAUUUCCCAGCUCUCACAGGAAGUAUGUGGCUGGCCUGGGAAACAAACAUUACUCUGUGCUUUAAACUGAAUUUGUCUUUCAUUCCCUUGCACAAAUAACAGAAUUAAUAUCUGUUCAUCUGUGAUUUUUCCAUGCAUGAUGUGUAAUGCAGCCCAUUCAUGAUAGAUUUUUUUUCUGUCAAGUGUAGAAAAAAGAGAAACAGAGGUGGAGAUGCUACUUGACUUACAUAGAAAAACCCAACACUGACUAUCCUUAUCACCUUAACAAUCUGUCUCCUCAUACCACUGCAUGGAUGUGCUCUUGGCUACCUGCUGGCUAGAGCAUAGGAAAUUCCAGGUCUGAAUACUCACUGUUCCACCCGAGAGCCAAGCCCUGGAUCUACUGAACAGAUCAUUAAGUGGGAUGUAAAACUUGUUCAGCCAGUCUGAAACCUUAUUUCCUUUUGACAGCAUGAUCAUCAGUAGAUUCCUAUGGUUGUUUAUUUCUAAGGACCUUGCUUCCUUACUUCAGUCAUAACUAACUAAACGAUGCCAUGAUCUAAGAACAUUUGAUAAACAAUUGAAUUAUAAAAUUAGAAGUUCACAUGUACUAACUAUUGAUAGAUUCUUUACCAAAUAGCUCUACUUCUGACUCACUCGGCCACACUUUGUCAUGGGUGAUACAAAUGUCAGGUGGCCUUGAAGGCAAGAUCACAGAAGGCCAGAACCAGCCUUACCAGCAGUAGAGUUUCAAAGAAAUAGACACUUCAUUGUCCUGUGAUGAGCAGCUGAGGGUUCUUUAGUCUGGAGGAGGCUCAGGGGUCACUCACUCACUACAACUACAAGAAAGGAGGUUUUAGCCAGGUGGGGGUCAGCCUCUUCUCCCAGGCAGCUUGUGACAGGAUGAGAUGACAUAAGCUGUACCAGGGGAGGUUUGGGUUGGACAUCAGGAGGAAUUUCUUCACAGAAAAGGUGAUUAGACAUGGUGCUGUUGAUAUGUGCUGUUCAAUUAGAGGUCUUUUCCAAUCUAAUUGAUUCUGUGAUUCUUUUUUUCUUUCCCCUUCAGGACAUUUCAAACCUUCCUUUGUAAAUUAGUUCCUAAAAAUCAUUAGGAACUAAAUUCCUGAUCCUUAUAAUGUGCUGGAGUCACCUCUAGAAUGUUUCCUUUCUACUGGUUUACUAUUAUCUUUGACUAAGAAGUUAAAUCCUUUGCUAGAAACCAAAUUUCUUUUUUGUUGUGUCUGUGCAAGACAAACUACCACUAUAAAAGAUUUUAAUUUCUGGUUGCCUGUUCAUGACUUUUGCAGUAGUUGCUUUUUUUAACCAUAGGACACUGCUCCUUUUUGAAAUCCUUUAUCACCUCCUUAGUAGUAUCCUACAGCUACUUUCUCAUUACAUUAAUCUUUUCUAUUCAUGCAGUAUAGGCUUUUCCAUACUCUUGGCUUGUCUUACUGUGAUUCAUAUUUUUUACAUACAUUCAUAGUUCUGCACUAUUUCUUCCUUCUGAUAUUACAGAAACAAUGUGCAUCAUAAAAAUGAGCUUCCUAAAUUACAAUUUCUGACUGACUGUGACAUUAACUAAACAGAAUUUCAAAGAUUACAUAGAGGAUAACCUAAUACUUCCCAUAUUAAGUAAUACUACAACUUUCUUUGAUUUAUCUUUCAAUCUCUGCUAUCAUAUCUCAAAAAUAUUAUAUAAAUAGCUAAGGUUAAUUUUUUCUGAAGACAUCUGCUAAGGCAUUAUUUCCUGUACCAAAAAUCAAUAUGUUAUUUAUAUUUGCUUUUAAUAGGUAUAGAUGAUACAGAGUCAGUAAUUACUGUCUCCUGUGCUGCAGACUUUCUUCUCAGGCAAAAUACACAUUUACACAAGACCCAGAGCAUAAUAUGUAUUUUAGAACAUUGAUAGAUGUUGAAAACAACAUAGCUCAUCUGAAGUCUUUCCAGACAGCAUUCAUUGUGUUCUGGAAAAUGCCUUUAUGCUUCCAGAGUUGGUUGCAGACCUCUUACCAAUUGCAUGAUAUGUAGGUUUUUAUUUUAGUUUUUAAGGAAUUACUCAUUUUUCAACAGGGGCAUGUCUGACUGGGUCAUUGUGUUUUAACAGAUUAUUGUCCUGGAGAGGCAAGGAUGCUCUUCCAGAAUGGAAAAGAAAGAAGGAAAAGGGAGAUGUGUGUUUUGGUAUAGGCUGUAAUGGGGGGAAAAUAUUACUUGGAGGAAAUGACAAUAAAUCAAAGCUCUUUUUCAUGGUUUAAGCCCAGCUGGAAAUUAAGCCCCACACUGGUGCUCCCCUUCCUCACCCCUCUAGUAAUAGAGAAAAAAGAGAGAGAUCCUGAGCUAAUAACAACUUACUGGAAACAGCAAUGAGGUAAGAAUAUGAACAAUAUCAACAACACUAUUAAUAACAAAAGUAUGCAAAAAGGAGGGUGAUUUGCAUACAAAAAAUAUAUAACUGAGCAACCCAACCUGGUGCUGCACAAUUCCAAUACAAAGAAAAAAAUGUCCCUCUGCCCCUCCUUGUGCCCUGUUUUCUCCCAAGCCCAAAACAAUGGAAAACAAAGGAAAACAAAUCCUCUGGUGAGGACAAUUGUUACCCCACUUCCUCCAGGAUAAAAGAAUGCCUGCCCUGUCCCAGGAAGCAAGAGCCUUUUCCCGGCCCCUUGGCGAUGAUGUAAGAUAAUGUGGAACAGCACAAUGACUUGGCCAUGCACACAUGGCUCCAGGCUUCAUCCCUCAUGUCCUUGGCCAGAGCCAGGACAGUCUAACAGUCAUACCAAUUGCUAUGCUGAACAAGAGCAUGGGUUUUAUUCCCCUAUUGAUGAAUUCUAACACUAGUGAGUAAAGCCCUUCCCUCAAACCAUAGUGAGCUGGGGGCAAAUACAUUUGUAUUCAGGCCUCCACUCAAAACUUCUAAGUGAUUUUUAAUGGGUACAGUUAGGUCUAAAGAGGGAGGAACAUUCCUCUGAAAAGAACAGGAUGUUUAUGGAUUCAAAGAUCUCAAAGCUGGAGCAGGUGGCUCAGAUGACUCAGACUAAGUUUCCAUCCCAGAAGGGGAAGGACCCUUGCACCUCUCAGCUGCCUCUCUCUGUAGGCCAGGGAAGGCAUCUAGCCCAGAGUUAAUAGAACAACCUACCACUUACCUCUGCUGGUUGUUCUGCCAGUAUUGUCCUUGUCCUCUUUAAAAAAAUUGCAUAAAAGACUCCCACACUUACCUCCAUUUUCAGAUCGUCCUGUUCCAGUUUUGAACCACUAGUUCUUUGGAUGUUUCCCUACACUCUAACUCUCCCUACAUAGAGUUAAGUCCCCCCUCAUAAGGUGUCGCAUGCAAAUUGAGGCACUUAGGAAUAGUCUUCCUGAGAAAGUAACUCUUCUUCUCCCCAUCUGUUAGGGCAAAUGUAUUUACUCUGGGGUUGUAACUUUUUUUCUAUAAUGAGUCCCAGUUUACAAUCUGAACUUUGAAAAGGUAGGAACUCAAAUAGUGUAUUUUCACUGGAGACCUAGAAAGAUUAAGCCAAUUUCUCAUUUCUGUUUAAGGGUUAGUUCUUGUGCCACUGAAUUGCUUGUCCACUGGGGCUACAGAGGAUAUAGGGGUAUUUACUGUCACUAUAGGACAUGUGAAAGCACAACGCAAGCCGCUGCUAUUGCAAAGGUGAAAAAGAGGAAGUUUAUUUUCUGACUCUAGUAUUUAUACUUUUCUAAAGGUGACAGUGGAUUGGAGGAUGAAUGUGCCACCUCUCCAAUGACACUAGACAAACUACUAGUUUAUCAAAUUUCUCCACCUCUAUGAAGGAAUGUAAAACAAUAGGUUGUUUACAGAAAGUUGUAUGAGAAGAUGUAAAGAUGUUUACAAGAUGUAAACUCAGAAGGCUUUAGAAAAUCUUAAGAAUUAGGGCAACAAUUUACUACUUUCCACAUUCUGUAGAUACGAUCUGAAUAUUUUGCACACUGAAUAAAAGCAUCCAUUUAAAACCAAGUGCCACCAACUAUUCAACAUCUCUAAUCCACAAUGACUUCCUAAUGGAAAUUAGUUUGAGGUUGUUGGUCAUUUCCUAAACUUUGUGUUGUAUGAUACUGUGUACCAUUCAUGUUUUGAUGAGAGUAUUGUGAUACUUCAAGUGACAAUUAAGUGCCAAGUACUGUAAUAAUUUAGGUGCAUCUGUAUUAUCAACUGUUUUUUUUCAGUUACUGCCCUGACAAAUAACAAAAUUUACCUUUUAUUAAAGCAUAUAGACCAAUUUAUAGAGAAUCCUGUAUUAGCUGUUGCAUAAUUUGGCCCAGGAUUACUGUUAAUACUACCUGGCAUAUAGCACCUCAGUUCAUUCCCUAAAUAAAUUUGUCACAUUUAGACUAUUCUGGUUUUCUAUGUUAUUCCAAGAUGUAAUUUCAGUACGACAGGUCUCUCUGCUUGCCUCAGGAGAACACGAUGCCAGUAAAGUAUGCAAUCUUAGAUCUAGAGAACUGGAACUGUUUUCACAAUGUUUACCCCCCAGGGAAAGAGAACUAAAAAAAUCUGAAGAAAGCAAUUUGCCUGCAGACUAAGAAUAUGCUUAUUCUAUCAGAUACAGUUUUCCAAUUGUUUCACUACAUUUAUGGUGAUUUUCUUUGUCAAAGUAACUAGUACUUGGAAACAAUGAAAAACCAUAACCUGCAACUACAACUCUGACAUAAAGAAAGCAGCAUAAUUUGUAAGGAAAAAUUAGGCUUGCCAAUUAAUUUCUUUGCCUGCCAUACUGAUUUCCCUCUAAGAUUUCAAAUCUCUUGAAAAAAUACACUACACUCCAUAACACAGGGCUACCUUCCUGGGAAACCUAGAAGGGGCUGUGGCCUUCCCAUUGGCAAGUAGCUGCAGAUGUUUCCACAUCAUCUAACUGUGCAAGAUCUGACAGUUCUCACAUCUCAUCAGCUCUAAAGUAAGCUGCAAACUUCACCUCAGUGUGCCAGGAAAGCAGGUGGGACUUUAAUAUAGGUGGAUGAAGCAUGGAGCUAUCUGCACCAAAACAUCCAGAAUACAGUCUGAAGCCAACUACAAGAAGAGGACCUGGGUAGUGUUUCUUUACCUCUCCGUCCCUCCCAGCCUGGCUUUAAAAGACAUACUGCUGUCACAAAAUCCACGGAGUAAGUGGGAAUUGCAAGCUGUCUUCUGCUUCCUAUUCUGUUUCUGUGACCAUCACAUCAACAAAGUUAACUGAAUCUUGUAAUUUUAGAGCUUAUGCUGACUUACUGACAGCAAAGUUUUUGAUGAAAAAAAACACGCUAGAUUUUUAUCUGACAUGAUUCUUAACAACUGUUAGGAUCCUCUUCUUCAUAUAAAUGAGUUGAGAAUAACUUUUGAUAAAUACUGUAAAUAAUAUACUUUCUGUACUUUAAAGUCUGUCCACACUGGAAGAACUAUAUCUUAUACAUGAAUAUGUUUUAUAAAAUGACUGAAUUCCCAGAAACCUUUGAGACUCAAAUAGAGAUAUUACUGCUUUUAUCUCUGAUUGGGAAGCUGAUUAUACAAACUGUGUGUUUGUAAUCUUGGAAACCAGAUUAACAAUAAUAACAAAAAAAGAAUCCAUCUAUGUACUUUUUUUCCUAAUAUGUUACUUUGAUAAUACCCUUUUAAAUUCUAGCUAGAUAAUCCAGUUAUUAGUAGGUAAGUACAUUCUUCAAAUAUAACAUUCCGUAUGUGUGUGUUUAUUUGAAUUUUCAAAGGGAGAAUGAAGUACAUUAGGACACUGCGUUAUCAGAUACUAAACCUCUAAUCUACAAACUCCUAAAGUACUUGGGUAAGUCAAAUUAGAUUCUUUGCUCUGUUGUGUUUUUUCCAAACAUGUUUUAGGCUAAGAAGAUAUGGAAAAAAUGGGAGCAUGAAUAUAGAGGGGCUUUUUGUAUGUGCUAUUCAAAGAGUUGAUUGCUUCUCUAGGAUUACUUCCAAAAGCUUGUAUCACUUCCAUGCCCACCAACCCCAUACAUUUAUCUAAUCUUAAAUAUAUUCCCUCAUUUCCCAGCCAUCUCACAAUUAGGAUAUUUGCAUUUGAUUAUUGUAACAGUAUUACUUUCACUUAUGACAUUAUUGUUUUUACAGUCUUAUAAAUGUUUUAGGGCCAGUGACAAGAGAGAGACCUUUUUAUAUAUACUAUCUACUUGAAAUACUAAUAAUCUUGUUCUAUGUUGGUCAUUACAUAACCAGUUUGUAACUCAGAAUAUAAGUCUCAGACAAAGAAGACCCAUGACACAAACACCGUGGGAAAAGAAUUUGUAACAAAACACAACACUAAAUAAGGCCUUGAAUAGCUUUAUUGAAAUCUGUAUAAAUAAACAUGCGCAUUUCAAAUGUAAACCCAAGUGAACUCAAGUGCAGACAAAAUUUUAACCUCUGUCAUGCAGGAGGUUAGUUUACAUUAAAAAAAAAACAAAACCUCAAAGCAGCUUUAAAAUACCAGGAUGAAACACCAGUUUAAUAUCAAGGUAUAAAGCAAAGCCAUGUCCAACAUAUCUCAUUUAUAUCCUGGUCAAAUGCAAUUUUUUUAAACUUUUUAAUGCUAACAUAAAUAAAUAAUUUACCAAAAUGUGCACUCACAGAGUGAACUUUUAUUUACAAUACACAAUUUAUAACCUAUUGUAUUUGAUUAGUUCAAGUGAAGAACAUCAUACUUUUUGCUUUUUUUUUUAAAUUUUAAACAGUGGGACACAAAGCAAUUCUCCAGGUAGUAGAUAUGUGACAUGUGCCCCCACAUUUAAGAAUCCCUCUCAAAGGCAGUAUUGUAUGCAAAUCAACAAUACAUUCUUCCAACUAGAUCAAUGGGAAAGCAGCAAAUCAAAAAAUAUUUCAAACUGUCACACUUAUUUUGGCAUCCUGGACCCCUGAACACAGUUAACUGAAAUCCAACUUGGAGUUUGUAUGCCUUAUAUACUGUACAGGUUCUGACUUGAACAUGCAAAUGCCAAUUCUCUUAUGAGUUACCUUUUCAGAUACACUGUAAGGCUAUGGUGAAUUCCAUCCGGAACACACAAAGAAAAUUAACAGGCCUACCUUUAAAGUGAUUUUGUUAAUUAACAAUUUAAAGGCAGGUCAUAUUGAAAAAAUUCUCAACUAAGCCUGAUACACAGUCAUUACUAUGGAUACAGAAUACUAUUAACUCUGACCUUAAUACAGAGUAGUUUGCAAGCUGUCAAACUACAAAAACUGGGGAGAGAGAACUUAUAGCACAAUUUAAAUUUUGGACUGUUACCAGAUAAAAAAUUAUG